UUUAUUUUAACAUGGCAGAUUAGUGCAAUAAAUUUAAGCUUUAUAUAUGUAAAUAAUUUUACUGUUAAAA
rnacentral:tRNA from 1 species